rnacentral:rRNA from 1 species
GAUGAACGCUGGCGGCGUGCUUAACACAUGCAAGUCGAACGAGAAGUGAAGACGGAAACCUUCGGGCGGAAGGCUUUAUUUCGAGUGGCGGACGGGUGAGUAACGCGUGGGUAACCUGCCUCAUACAGGGGGAUAACAGUUGGAAACGACUGUUAAUACCGCAUAAGACCACAGCACCGCAUGGUGCGGGGGUAAAAACUCCGGUGGUAUGAGAUGGACCCGCGUUCGAUUAGCCAGUUGGCGGGGUAACGGCCCACCAAAGCGACGAUCGAUAGCCGAUCUGAGAGGAUGACCGGCCACAGUGGGACUGAGACACGGCCCAAACUCCUACGGGAGGCAGCAGUGGGGAAUAUUGCACAAUGGGGGAAACCCUGAUGCAGCGACGCCGCGUGAGUGAAGAAGUAUUUCGGUAUGUAAAGCUCUAUCAGCAGGGAAGAAAAUGACGGUACCUGAGAAAGAAGCCCCGGCUAACUACGUG